CACUUUUAAAAGACAUAGAGGUUUCUUCAAAAUUUAGGCAAUUACUCAAAUUUGAGGAGUUAUCCUACAGUAUGUCAAAAUGAAACUGCUAAUUAUUAAGUUCCAUAUGUAUUUUGUCUCACUUAUCGUCAAUAGAAGGCACUGAAAAGUAGUUCACAAAUAACUGAUGGACAGGUUUAAUUUAUUUUCAAGAGGGCAUCAUGUUGACAAAAAAGUUGUUGCUCACCCUAUUUUGACAACCAGAAAAAUGCAAUUCUAUUUGAGAAAGUAAAUGUAGGAUUUUUUUUAGGGUGCAUCUAUUCAGCGAACAUGUGUGUAACAACAGGUUAAUUUGAAAGGUAGAAGCAAUGUUUGGUCUGUGAUAGAUAGAUGAGUGUGUUUAACUUAUGGUUUUUUACAAACAGUUUGUAGAAUGCCUCCUGGCAUUGGUUCUCUGACCUUGGAUCAAUUUACUCUGCGCUUACAUGAUAUAUUGCUUCUAGCCGAUGAAAUUUAGUCCACAUUUGUGUGCGUAUGCAUAUCCUAUACUGGAAAUUGUGCUUGCCCAUUAUAUAUUAGAAGUAGACAAGAAAAUGUCCAUAGUAAUAAACUUGCGGUCACAGGACUGCUAGCUUAAAGUUUGUUAGAUUAUGUAAAUGGGUAAUUUUGUUGUCUGCUCUUUAGGUUUCCAUAGUAUGAGCUGGUGCUAUUGCUUUUAAACUGCCAUGUAAACUGAACAAUGGGGCUUCAUGUAUAAACUGGAGCAAUAAUAUCCUAUUACUUCUCAUGUAAUGGAUCAAUUGUGUGUCUUGGUCUUUCCUGUUUUCUUUGGUUUUGCAGCCUAGAAUUUUUUCAUGCGCAUAUAUAGCUACUUAAUCAACUGAGUUCCUUUAUGAUGUGUGGCAGACAACAUUUACUGAUAUGACUUACUUUCUCAUUCUAGAUAAUGGCAGGUGUAGCAAUGAAAGGCAUAUAUAUUUUACUACAAGCAUCCUAGCUUUCUCAUCUUAUUAGUGACUCACUUUCGAAACAUAUGUAUUGGUAGUUUUUAUCUCUAUUCUUUUGCCUUCUACAUAAUGGAUUGCAAUGUUUUUGUCUUGAUCCAAUCCUUCCCGCGCCCAUGGGGUGUCCUGCAGGGACUGCUUUGGCUGUUCCAGAGGCCGUACACACAUAUAAAUACACAACUACUCCCUCGACCGAAGCCCAGCCCAAUUGUGUCGUUUCGUCGUGCUCGACAUUGGUAUCUUGCCGUUCUGCCGAAGCCAUGGAAAUCUCGCUGUUCUGCCAACCUGGUAGGAAUUUCUCCAUAGCCGACUUCACCGGAAUUACAUCCGCCAGUGUAGCCAAGGCACAUCGUUCAAACUGCUCGAGCAAUACUGAUUUGGAGUUGUUUUGGUCAAGCGGUUGAACUGAACCAUGCUACUGUACAGUAGCCAAAAGGAUAGUCAGGUUGUUUC
rnacentral:lncRNA from 1 species